rnacentral:rRNA from 1 species
UAGGGAAUUUUCGGCAAUGGACGAAAGUCUGACCGAGCAACGCCGCGUGAGUGAAGAAGGUUUUCGGAUCGUAAAACUCUGUUGGUAGAGAAGAACGUUGGUGAGAGUGGAAAGCUCAUCAAGUGACGGUAACUACCCAGAAAGGGACGGCUAACUACGUGCCAA